rnacentral:rRNA from 1 species
CACCGGCGGCUCGAGUGGUAACCGUUAUUAUUGGGUCUAAAGGGUCUGUAGCCGGCCGGAUAAGUCUCUUGGGAAAUCCAGCAGCUCAACUGUUGGGCUUUCAGGAGAUACUGUCUGGCUCGAGGCCGGGAGAGGUGAGAGGUACUUCAGGGGUAGGGGUGAAAUCUUGUAAUCCUUGAAGGACCACCAGUGGCGAAGGCGUCUCACCAGAACGGACCUGACGGCAAGGGACGAAAGCUAGGGGCACGAACCGG